rnacentral:rRNA from 1 species
UACGGGGGGGGCAAGCGUUGUUCGGAAUUACUGGGCGUAAAGGGCUCGUAGGCGGCCAACUAAGUCAGACGUGAAAUCCCUCGGCUUAACCGGGGAACUGCGUCUGAUACUGAAUGGCUCGAGUUUGGGAGAGGGAUGCGGAAUUCCAGGUGUAGCGGUGAAAUGCGUAGAUAUCUGGAGGAACACCGGUGGCGAAGGCGGCAUCCUGGACCAACACUGACGCUGAUGAGCGAAAGCCAGGGGAGCAAACGGG